rnacentral:rRNA from 1 species
GGAUUAGAUACCCGGGUAGUCCAUGCCGUAAACGGUGGGAACUAGAUGUGGGGGCCAUUCCACGGUCUCUGUGUCGCAGCUAACGCAUUAAGUUCCCCGCCUGGGGAGUACGGCCGCAAGGCUAAAACUCAAAGGAAUUGACGGGGGCCCGCACAAGCGGCGGAGCAUGCGGAUUAAUUCGAUGCAACGCGAAGAACCUUACCAAGACUUGACAUCACCGAGAACGCUGCAGAAAUGUAGAACUCUUUGGACACUCGGUGACAGGUGGUGCAUGGUUGUCGUCAGCUCGUGUCGUGAGAUGUUGGGUUAAGUCCCGCAACGAGCGCAACCCUCGUCUUAUGUUGCCAGCACGUAAUGGUGGGAACUCAUAAGAGACUGCCGGGGUCAACUCGGA